CCGCCGUUAGCUCAACUGGUAGAGCAAUCGGCUUUUAACCGAUAGGUUGGUGGAUCAUACCCACCACGGCGGACCA
rnacentral:tRNA from 1 species